UCACGUUGGCUUCACAUGCGCGGUUGUCUGGAAAAGGGAUAAAAAGGAUACGAAUCCUUCGCUUCGGAACACACAGGCCGAACUUUACACAGGUAGGCGAGCGUGAAUCAUACCUUGUAGCAACGGAUACGGACGGAAUGUAACGUCGAACCAACUUGGGCUCUCUCUGGUGUGUCUGCUGACCCACGGCGGGCAAGAUACAUACACACACACACAUACAUCUCAUUUACUUAAAGUUUCUAUCUAAUCGAGCGAAAUAAGAAACGGAAACGACUGAAAGGAAAAAAUGUCAGCUAUAAAAAAAAGAACGAAGGAAAAAAUACAUAAAUAUAUAUCCACGCUUAUUCAUGACAGUGAUUUUCAGGCAUUACGUAUUUGUUGGCGUAAGCGUGCAGAAUCCAUGUUUCUCGUGAUUGGAUGAAACAAGAUUGGCGAAAGUCGUCUCGGUAUCGAGAUUAAUACUAUAAUACUAUCGUAAAUAUUAUCGCUUUGUACGUGACCGCACAAGAACAAUCAAUACUGUAUUUAUGUGAAUUUAGUAAUCUACUCAUAAUAAACCAAAUUUUCGAUAAUACA